CACUUACCUCCCCUGAGGUUUCUGAUAAUUACAGACACCUCCCAUCAGGUUACUGAAAUUGCACUUACCUCCCCUGUCAGGGUUGGCGAGUAACAGAACCUAACAGGGGAAGCAAAAAUACUUAUUUGCCCAUGGUAUUAUACUAAAUAAAGAAAACCGGAUAAAGAAGAAGAAAGAAUAAAGAAAAUGUAGAAAAUAAAAGAGAAAAGUGUACAGUGUUUUAGCUACCUACCCACCACGUGUAGGGUUGUGAUGUGUUUCUCCAAUCCUGAGGUCUGCCCCUUCGUAUUACGCGCCAAGAAGAGAGAGGUAGUUCUCAGAAAAAAGGAGAGAGACAGAAUGGGUGUAUCGAUCAAAUCCUCUUCUAUCACUGAAAGAGAAAUCUGAAGGAAGAAAGAGAUGGCUUAGGGUUUGAAACUGAUCAAAUCUCCUUGUUUGUCGAGUGGUACCUACGAUUUGGAAGAAACAAAGAAACAGUUGUAGUGCUGUGAAGAACGGCUUGCUCUGUAAUCGUUGCUUGAAGAUAUGGAUGCUCUGUAUUUCGACAUAACUGUGUAUUUUAGAGGUAAUGUUUCAAGGAUAAAAAAUGUGAACCCUGAGAGGUAUACCUAUGUUGAUCUGUUGGAUGAUGUUGCUGAAAAGAGUUUAUCUACAAUCCCAUGUGGGAAUUGUUGUGCGAUCACAUUGAAAAGCAAAAUUCCUGAAUCUAAUGAAACCAUAGUUGUAAGUUGUGACCUAGAUGUUCUUUAUAUGUUUAGGUUCAACUCUCGAACUUGUCAAAUUGAAUUGAUUGUUGAUGUGGGUGAAGAUGGUGGAACACUUGAGGUAGGAGGACAGGAGGGUGUUAAGAAUGAUGUAAGGGCCCAUGAUGUAAUUGAUCUCAGUGAUGAUGUAGUUGAGGGUCUUACAAGUGAAGCUCAUAAUGUGCAGAGAAUUGAGGGUGUUAGUGAUGUUGGUAAGGGUAGUAGUGUUGGCCAGUUUAAGAGUGUUAGGAAGCGUAAUGAUGUCACAAGGCGAGAGCAUGAUGACUAUCUUGCAAGUUUGGACAAUGAUGAGGAUGGUCGUCUUAGUGAUCAGUCUGAACAUAGUGAUGAGGAUUUCAUUAACGAUAGUGAUCGGUCUGAACAUAGUGAUGAGGAUUAUAGCUUUCCCUCUGCUAAUGAGGAUUCUGGCAGUAGUACUGAUGGAUUCUCUAGUUAUGAGUCUGAUAAUGAGGAUGAGAGAGACUCUAGUGAUGGGGAAGGGAAGAAAGGAAAGAUUUAUGUUGAUAUUACCAAAUUUGGGCAAGAGUUUCAUGUUGAUGGUGAAGAUGGGAAGGUCAUAUUGAAGGAGAAUUUGUUAUUUGAGAAUGUUGACAAGUUUAGAGAAGCUUUGAAGGAGUACACUAUCCAAAAGGGUUGUAAAAUUAUUAGGGUUAAGAAUGAAAAGGGUAAGGUCACAUGUCAUUGUGCUGCCCUUGGAGAAUUCAUGCAUCUCCUUUACCAGAUGGCACCACAUACAAAAUUAGGACUUAUCAUGGAGAGCACACUUGCAUAUCUUCCACAAAAAUUCCUGAGGCAACUUCUAAAUGGAUUUGUAAGAAGAUGUUGAGGUGCUUGAGAGCAAAUCCAAAAAUGACCUUAGAAUCAAUGCAAGUUGAAGUGCAACAUAAGUAUGGAAUUGAAGCAUCAUUUACCCAAUUGUAUAGGGCAAGAAGGAAGGCAUUAGCAGAGAUUGAAGGAAACCAUGCAAAGUCAUAUUCAUUACUUCCAGCAUAUGCAUAUGAAGUAUUGAAGAGCAACCCUGGUAGUCUUGUUAAGAUUAAAGGUGAAAUGUUAACUCCAACCUCAACCCCGAUGUUUCAGAGGUUUUUCAUAGCAUUUGAUGCUAUGAUUACUGGUUUCAAAUCUGGUUGCAGGCCCUUCAUUGGGCUUGAUGGUUGUCACCUCAAAGGGCCAUAUGGAGGUAUAUUAUUGUCUACAGCAGGAUUGGAUGGAAAUAAUGGUUUGUUCCCAAUUGUUGUUGCCAUUGUGGAGAUAGAAGGGAGUGAAAGCUGAAAGUUUUUCAUUGACCAUUUGCAGACAGCCUUGGAUCAUGGGAGUGAAGCCAAGCCUUGGACCUUCAUGUUAAACAUGCAAAAGAGUAUUGAACCAGUGCUUGUAGAGUUUAUGUCUCAAUCUGCCAAUAGGUUGUGUUGAAGACACCUUUUUGCCAACUUUAAAAAGGUGCAUUCUGGAUUGUUGCUUAGGAAAUGUUUU